AGGGAAGGGUGGUGACAGGCAGGGCUAGUGGGAAGGAAGGGAAGGGUGGUGACAGGCAGGGCUAGUGGGAGGGGAAGUGGUCACAGGCAGGGCUAGGCUAGUGGGAGGGAAAGUGGUCACAGGCAGGGCUAGGCUAGUGGGAGGGGAGGGAAAGUGGUCACAGGCAGGGCUUGUGGGAGGGGAGGGAAAGUGGUCACAGGCAGGGCUAAUGGGAGUGAAGGGAAAGUGGUCACAGGCAGGGCUAGUGGGAGGAAGGUGGUCACAGGCAGGGUUAGGCUAGUGGGAGGGAAGGUAAAUGGUCACAUGCAGGGCUAGUGGGAGUGGGAGGGAAAGUGGUCACAGGCAGGGCUAGGCUAGUGGGAGCGGAGGGAAAGUGGUCAC
ensembl:lncRNA